UACGUAGGGGGCUAGCGUUGUCCGGAAUCAUUGGGCGUAAAGAGCGUGUAGGCGGUCCGGUAAGUCCGCUGUGAAAGUCGGGGGCUCAACCCUCGAAUGCCGGUGGAUACUGUCGGGCUAGAGUGCGGAAGAGGCGAGUGGAAUUCCUGGUGUAGCGGUGAAAUGCGCAGAUAUCAGGAGGAACACCUAUUGCGAAGGCAGCUCGCUGGGACGUUACUGGCGCUGAGACGCGAAAGCGUGGGGAGCAAACAGG
rnacentral:rRNA from 1 species